rnacentral:lncRNA from 1 species
CUCCCCCUCUCCAUCUUUUUCUGUUUCUGUCCCCCUUUGUCUUUUUCUUCUCUCUCUCUAUCUGUCUUUCUCUGUCUCUCUUUUCUCUCUCUGUCUCUCUCUUCUCUCUCUCCCCAUUUCACUGUCUCUGUCUACCUAGUUGUCUCUGUCACUCUCUAUCUCUCUUUCCAUCUCUCUGUCUCUUUGUUCCUAUGUCUCUGUCUUUCUCUGUUCCUCUCUCUUUCUAUCUCUGUCUCUAUCCCUCUCUGUCUCUCUGCAUCUCUAUCUCUGUCUCUGUCCCUCUCUGUCUCUUUCUAUCUCUGUCUCUGUCCCUCUCUGUCUCUUUCUAUCUCUGUCUCUGUCUCUCUGUCUCUGUCUCUCUGUGUCCCUCUCUCUGUCUCUGCCUAUCUCUGGCUCUGGGUCUCUCUCUCUGUCUCUCUGUCUCUUUCUAUCUCUGUCUCUGUCUGUCUCUCUGUCUCUGCCUGUCUCUCUGGCUCUCUCUCUCUAGCUAGGGGAUGCCAGUGGACUGGACACCUGCUGUUCCCUCUCCCAGCCCAUGGCUGAGGGUGGACCUGCCCGUUCUCUUCUGCCCUCGUGGGGAGACGCCCAGCUACUCUUCUGGUCCGUGGCUCCUGUUUUUUGGCUGCUGCCUCCAGGGUACCUGGCUGCUUCUUUCUAGGCAUGGCAAGCAAGAAGGAACCCAUUUUGCACACAUCUGCGGGGCUUUCAGUCUCCUCCUCUGAUGUACUCAAUCGGCCUUGAGAGAGAAGGGUCCCUGCAGAAAAGAAGAGACUUUGCCUGCAGCAGCCGUGGGCCAUGGAUCCGCUGUCCCCUGAAGUCUGUAAGGUUUUGCUACCUUAGAGGAAGCUGAACUGCUCUUCCAUAGCUUCCAUCAAGCCCCCGGGAGCCUGGGGCUCUGCCGGGCCAAUUCUGGAAUGCUGGCAGGGAGAUGUGGGGCAGAACAACAAAAAAACAUUAGUUAUCUUUACAAGGCUCUUAAUGAUGGGGUAAGCAUGUUCAGGCUGCAAUCUAAUAUGUAAGGGUAAUUACACUGAGUUAUGCCCCACCUCCAUGGCACCCCUCACGUUAACUCUUUCCAGCCCUAGUGGGUAGCCAGUAAUGUUAGGGAGCCUCCAACCGGGACUUCCUGGGGAAGAGGACGGAAAAGCAGUCUUGAAAACACUUUUAUGAGUCAACGUGAGGCUCUGCUAUAUCUGAAGAGGUCACUCGACCCUGAUUUUAGGAGAAAACCACUCUUUUUCUUCCCAGAAUGGCACUUGAUGGCAAGCUGCCUCUGAGAGGACCUCACUUCAAGGGCUAGAUUGCAGUGUCAGGAAACAGGAGUUUUGUUGUGGUGCCUCCUGAAUUUCCUCUGGGAACUUGGAACAAAAGCAAACAAACAUAAAAGCCCCCAAAGGUCAGGAGACCUGUCAGGCCGUCAGUGCCGCCUCCUUCUGGGGGUCCAGAAAUGCAGCCAGGUUCACCACUGUUUUCUUGUCUGGGGGACACACGCUUGGAAGCACACUGUUUUCCUUCCUUCCUUUUAUCAAUGUGUGAUUUAACAGGAGCACCGCUCCCCUGACUUCCAGGAGCCCUCUGGUUGGACCACCCAGUUCACAGUCACUUUUGCCACAAAGAGCUGUUUAUUGGAAGAUCAUUAAAAAUCAUACUUUGGGAAUUCAUUGUCUCUUUGUGUGUUUUCCUUAAGAUAAUUUUGAUGUGUAAAGAAAUGCUUUUU